rnacentral:rRNA from 1 species
UUGGAGGGCAAGUCUGGUGCCAGCAGCCGCGGUAAUUCCAGCUCCAAUAGCGUAUAUUAAAGUUGUUGCAGUUAAAAAGCUCGUAGUUGAAUUUCGGGGUUCUACCGUUGGUCGGGCUUUGUCUGUACUGGUGUGUAGAAUUUCUACCUUCUGGGGAACCAUCAUGCUAUUAAUUUAGCGUGGUGGGAAACCAGGACCUUUACCUUGAAAAAAUUAGUGUGUUCAAAGCAGGCUUAUGUCUGAAUACAUUAGCGUGGAAUAAUAGAAUAGGACGGUGGUCCUGUUUUGUUGGUUUCUGAAUCACCGUAAUGAUUAAUAGGGAUAGUUGGGGGCAUUAGUAUUCAAUUGUCAGAGGUGAAAUUCUUGGAUUUAUUGAAGACUAACUUCUGCGAAAGCAUUUGCCAAGGAUGUUUUCAUUAAUCAAGAACGAAAGUUAGGGAAUCGAAGACGAUCAGAUACCGUCGUAGUCUUAACCAUAAACUAUGCCGACUAGGGAUCGGACGAUGUUAAUUUUUCUUGACUCGUUCGGCGCCUUACGGGAAAC